GGUUAAGCGACUAAGCGUACACGGUGGAUGCCCUGGCAGUCAGAGGCGAUGAAGGACGUGCUAAUCUGCGAUAAGCGUCGGUAAGGUGAUAUGAACCGUUAUAACCGGCGAUUUCCGAAUGGGGAAACCCAGUGUGAUUUGUCACACUAUCAUUAACUGAAUCCAUAGGUUAAUGAGGCGAACCGGGGGAACUGAAACAUCUAAGUACCCCGAGGAAAAGAAAUCAACCGAGAUUCCCCCAGUAGCGGCGAGCGAACGGGGAGGAGCCCAGAGCCUGAAUCAGUGUGUGUGUUAGUGGAAGCGUCUGGAAAGGCGCGCGAUACAGGGUGACAGCCCCGUACACAAAAAUGCACAUGCUGUGAGCUCGAUGAGUAGGGCGGGACACGUGGUAUCCUGUCUGAAUAUGGGGGGACCAUCCUCCAAGGCUAAAUACUCCUGACUGACCGAUAGUGAACCAGUACCGUGAGGGAAAGGCGAAAAGAACCCCGGCGAGGGGAGUGAAAAAGAACCUGAAACCGUGUACGUACAAGCAGUGGGAGCACGCUUCGGCG
rnacentral:rRNA from 1 species